ACCUGUUCGAGCCAGGUGAUAGGGUACAGAUCCAUCAGCAAGGUCAAAAGUAGUGGAUGAGUCUGGAGGAGGAGAAGAUUGGGGAUUGGUGGUUGUAGGGGUUAGUUUGCAAGCGAAAAAAUCUGUAGAGGUUUGCAAGAGGUGCAGAGAGCAGGAUUGAAUCAGAGCAAGAAGAAAGCUUGGAAAUAGUGAUCUCUACCCAUUUUUUUUGAAAUGCUCACGGUAAUUGUAGAGAUCCCUUAGAAUGGAGGGAUCCAGGGACCCAAAAGAGGGCCAACUUCUUUGGUUGUCUAAGGGAUAAGUGGGCCAGGCCUGAAUGAUAUAUUUGAUCAAUUUUUGGGGUUUGAUGUCUGGUGUCAAGGAGAGGGUUUGAGGUUAUCCAGGAGGCAUUGUAGGGAAGAGUCAACAGGCAGAGAGGAUCCAUUACCCAUGUGGCAAACGCAGUAUAAGGAGGUGGGAAGAGGAUGCAAAUACAGUAUAGGGUAGAAGGAAGGAGACACAAACAUAAGGGGAGAGGGAAGGAGAUGCAAAGAUAGUAUAAGAGAGAAGGAGGAAACUGAUUUAUUGGCAAAAGGGGCAUCCCCGCUAGAGCCAAAAAUCAGGAGUGCCUAGUGGCAGGUUCGAGCUGCAGAGAUUGGUCAUCAAUGAAUCCUUACAGUCAAGGAGGCUUUCAUCCUGGCUGGAGCUGUGCCAUGGGACACCUUGGCCAAGGCUUUUCAGGACCUCUCCUGGAGAGGUGGAGACUCCCAGGGCCCAAAAGACGGGAGAGAGAGAGAGGCAGGAGAAGAGACAGAAAGGGGAGGGUAAGCCUCCAUCUAAUGGCUGUGUCUUAAAGGUGCGAGGACUAGGACUUUAUGAGAGCCACCAAAACCGUGAAGGUCUGGGUGGGGUGUGAUGUACAGUUGUCUGUUAUGUGUUCUGGGAGGUUACGCAGUCCUUUGAGGGAGACCUACAAAGCCUAUGCUGGUAAACUACCAGCUGGGAAGGGGAUGGGAAAUAAUUUUGAACACGAGUCAAAUCUGCCUGAGGAAGGAGUCCCUGAGGGCCAUCAUGGCCUUAAAGGUUGUGGUGGGGUGUUUUCCUCCCCACAGGUGGGUGAAGAGUUUUGCCGGACAAUCAAUGGUCAGAUCCUCCUGAUACCACAAUUGGGUUUAAGACUCCAGGAAGGGGAAACUCACCAAUCAAAGGCCUGUGUUGGAUGGAGUUCUGCUGGUCGAGAAAAUGGGUUCAGGCCAUCCAGUGAGUGGCAUUUCUGAAGGAAGAGGGACCCAAAAGUGGGUUUUAACCCUCUUCCUGGUUUUUGGCACCAAUGAAAGGAAAGUGACCACAACACUUGGAGGGACCAAGAGAUAUUUAUUUCAGCAGUGCAACAGAGGAGAAAAGAGAGAAAGAUAAGUGGGGGGGGGGGCAAGGCAGGGGAAAGCUUUUAUAGACCUUCUGCUGUGCUGCCUAAAUCUAACAGGGUCUCUGGGUUUGCAAGCAUUCAGCCUUGAGUGGGGGCUUGAAGCAAACAGGUGAUAAAGAACCAGACAGAGGGUUUGAGUGGUCAGGUCAGCCUACAGCUAACUUUGUUUGGCAUACCCUGCAGACAACUUAUUCAGCCUGUCCUGCACCUAACAUUUAGGAGAACAACACCUGAGUGCUGCAUAUAGCUAUUGAAAUGGAUUUCAAUGGGAUCUUCCUCUCUGGGUUCUACCACAUUAUUUGUUUUUAUUGUAUUGGGGAUGGAACCCUGGGGAGCUUAACCACUGAGCCCCAUCCCCAGACCUUUUUUGUAUUUGGUUUAGAGUAGGGCCUCACCGAAUUGCUUAUGACCUUGCUAAGUUGCUGAUGCUAGCUUUGAACUUGGAAUUUCUGCCUCAGCCUCCAUGUGACAAGACACCAGGCUCAAGUACUUUCUUCUUCAUACAUAAGAUACAUUAGUUUGUGCAUCCACGUAUUCCUGUCAUCUUUGUCCUCUUUCCAGAAUCAACAGCAAUCUGGUGGAGCGAGCUUUUCCUAAAUGUGAUGAUUUUCCUUAACCUCCUAGGGUCCCUUGACUGUCCUCCGGUUCAUAAGGGUUUUCUCCUGGUGGACUGAGUCUCAGCAUACCUGUGGGCUUCUGCAUACCAUUACAAGAUCCCAUUAUGGUAAUGAUCUGGUUUCCUGAGUGUGGUCAUGAUGUGCUGAUUCUCUGUCACGACCCCGAGCCGGAAUCUCGAGUUUGAUAGUGCUUGUCAUUCUUCUUGUGCUGAGGAGUCCUCAGGGAUAUCCAUGAGAGGAGAAAAGAUGAGUGGCCAAGUAAUUCACUAAUUACCCCACAGUGCAGAGAACCUCAAACACCUUGAUGAGAACUGUGGGACUGCCCCAAUUCUGGGCUCUGGGGACACAGAUCAUUGUCCCUACCCUCAUGGAAUUCAGAUGACACCCUUGGAGAGGCAAUGGCAGGCACUAGAGACCAAACGCAGCAAGGGGGCUGCCAUGGCCCUGGAGGCUCCCAAAGCAAGCUGUGGAAUGAGUUGUUUCCACUUUGGGUUUUAUAUUGAGCAAGAUAAAAAUCACUGGAAAAUUUCAUGUUCUAGGGUGACAUCUUCUGUCUUCUUUUUUCCAUGGUAUUGAAGAUUAGUUGAUUCUGGCCACUUGUUGACCAAAGUCCUAAUUGCUGAUCUACUUUUUAAAUUUUUUCAUUUGCUUUCAUUAGUUAUAUAUGACAGUAGAAUGCAUUGAUGCGCUUUUGAAAGAUCAUAUAUAAAUUGAUUUUUGUUGUUGUUUUUAAAAUCCCCUUGGCCUGCUGGUUCAGUAGUAAAUUAGUGAGGCCUGGGGAGUGCCAGGAGGAGGUUCCCACACCAUGCUGGAGGCGGGAUGGAGCCAGGCCUACCUUGGGCUCAAGCUCUGUCCAGGAGCCGGUCCCCAGGGAUGGCCCAGUUUCUAUCUGCCACCACCUGACGCCCCAUAGAUCCUUUGGCUUGGCCAAGGACUGCCUCCACUCCUCAGCAAAGAUCCUUGGGAGCUCAGGAUCAGCCCAGAUCUCCCAGGAUGACAUGAGGUGAUAGCCUGGGCAAAUGGUAGUCACAGGUCCAUCCUACCUCGGGCUGACCCCUGCCAGAGCUCAGACUCAGCCCAGGAAGGACUCAUCCCACUGUCAGAUGCCCGCCAGAGCUCAGGCUCUGCCCCACACUGACUCCGCCUACUGAAAGACACCUGCCAGAAUUCAACCCCAGCCCAGGCCAGCCUCGCUGACAGGCAUGGGAGCCUGGUCCAAGGUAGGCCUGGCUCCAUCCCGCCACCAGUCAACCCCCAGCAGAGUUCAAGCCACAUCCAAGACCGACUCUACCCACAGGCGAACACCUUCCAGAGCUCAGGCUCCUGCCUGAUCAGCCAAGGCCAGCUGCGCGCGAUCCUGAGCAAGGGUAAGCCAAGUUCCAUACCGCUGAUCCCUGCGAAGGUCAGGCCCAGGCCUCAUCUACCCAGCUGAACUGCAGGCAAGCCAGAGCAGAGAGUAGUCACAGGGCCAUCCCGCUGCAGGCUGACCCCUGCUGGAGCGCAGCCUCAUCGCAGGAAUGACUCCGCCUACUGUCAGAUACCCACCAGAGGUCAGACUCCGCCCCGCACUGACUCCACCUACUGGAAGACACCUGCCCAGCCCAAGUCAGCCUUGGUGACAGGUGUGGGAGCCUGGCUUAGUGGCCGACCCCCACCAGAGCUCAGGACAGACCCAGGACCACCUCUGCCCACAGGGAACACCUUUGGGAGUCCAGGCUUAUGCCUGAUCAGCCAAGGCCAGCUGUGCGGGAGCCUCGGCAAGGGUAAGCCAAGUUCCAUCCCGCCACCUGUAGACCCCUGCGGAAGUCAAGCCCAGGCCUCAUCUGCCCAGCUGAACUGCACAUGAGCCUGUUCUCAGGUUAAGCCUGUUGCCAUCCCACCACUGGCUGAAUGCCACCAGAGCUCAGGCUCUGCCCUGAUCAGCCUAUUUCACCUUCGUGGGAGUCCUUACCUAGGAUAGCCUUGGUCCUUCCAGCCACUGGCUGACCGAGACUACACCCAAGCACAGGAUAGCCACAGGUCCAUCCAACUACUGUGGGCCAGGCUCCUGCGCCUGUCAGGAAGGCUGAUCUGACUGAGGCUGAACUUCAGUGACUGUCUGUCAGUGGUCAGAGACAGUCAUGGGCCGAGCCUGAGCUCUGGUGCCAGUCUCAUGGUGACUGGAUGCACUUGGGCUACCCUGGGCUCGGACUUCAUCUCUUGCCAGGUCAUAGAGUUGGAUCUGGGCAGAGCUCGAGCUCUGGCGAGGUUCUGCAUGUGGCAGGAUGACACUGGGGGCCCACCUUGCCUGGCCUCCCAAGCAGUUCAGCAAGGACAAUCUUGGCUGAGUUUGAGCUCUGCCUGUUGAUCCAAGGCGGUCCUGUGUUUGGCCUGAGCUCUGCUUGGGGCCUGCUUGUGGCAGUUGGUAUUAGGCCUACCUUGGGCCAGGCUCCUGUGCCUGUCAGUGAGGCUGGUAUGGGCUGGGGCUGAAGUUCUGCAACUGACAAUGGGUGGAGUCAGUCGUGGGCAGAGCCUGAAUUUGGUUGCCAGUUUCUUGAUAACUUGGAAGGACAUGGGCUACCCUGGACUCUGGCUUCAUCCUGCCAGGUCGUUGAGUUGGAUGUGGGCAGAGCUAGAGCUCUGGUGGGGUUCUUCAGGUGGUGGGAUGGAACAGGGCCUCCCCUUGCCUGGGUAGUGAGGCCAAUCUGUGCCUUGUAUAAACUCUGGCAGGGUUGUGCCUGUGGGCGGAGUCAGUGCUGGGCCAAGCCUGAGCUCAGGUGGUGGUCUGGUGGUGGCCAUAUGUUCCCAGGGCUACCCUCUUCCCGGGUUUCUGUGCACAUCUGCAAGGCUUAUCUGGUGGGACCUGAGUUACAGCAGGGGUCUGCUGGUGGUGGGAAGGCCUGGGACCUACUCUGGGCUUCAGCUACCACUCAGGUCGUCGAGGCUGAAAUGGGCCAGGAUUGGCCACCAUUGAGUGUCUGUUGGUGGCAGUCUGUCCUGGUCCAAACCUGAGGUCUGGAGGGAGCUGCUGGAUGGAGGAGGCAGGCCUGGGAAGAACCUGAGCUCUGGCACCAGUCUCAUGAUGAGUGGAUGGACUCGGCCUACCCUGGGCCCCAUCUCCUGCACAGGUCCUUGCAGUGGCUCUGGACUGGAUCUGAGCUCCUGAAGUGGUCUGCCGGUGGGCAGAGGCAGUCCUGGCCAGAGUCUCAGCUCUCGGGAGGGUCAGCCAGUGGUUCUGGGCCGGACCUGAGCUCGGUGCAGGUCUCCCAGUUGAGGGAAGGAUGCAGUCUUACCCUGUGUGUGGCCUCCUGCGCAGGUUGGUGGGGGCAGAUCUGGACCGUAUAUGAGCUCUGGCAGGCGUCUGCAGGUGAGUGAAGUGGUCCUGGUCUGGGACUGAGCAUCCUGCUGGUAGUGGGAAGAAACCGGGCUACUCUGGGCCCCAGCUCCAGUGCAUCUGGGAAGGGCCUGAGCUGGGGCGGGUGUCUCUGGACCUUUAUUUUAUUCAUUUGUUCAUAGGUAGUACUGAGGAUCAAAGCCAGUGCCUUACAUUUGCGAGACAAGAGCUCUAUCACUGAGUCACAACUCCAGCCCUAUUUGCUUCUUCUUGACCUUUAAUCAUGCUAUUUUUUGGUUCUAUAUCAUUUGUUCAGGCAUGCAUCUGGAUUUUAACAAGUAGCAAUUUUGUGAUAUCACCAGCAAUGCUUCAAAAGCUGGCUUCAAAUGAGACCUUGAUCCUCAGCCCGAUUACAUCCCACACAUCCGUAUCACCUCUGGCAUAGGUGCAGAAGAGAGAUGACUAAGACAUGGUCCAUGACUCUCAACUUUUGGGAAAAAUUGUUUUGAAGAGGUAAAGGGUAAGGCGACACUUGACAGAGAUCUGCAGAACGCAGAGCCAGGGAUGGAAGCCAAGGCUUUGGGAAUGCGAGGCAAGCACUUUGCGGUUUUGCCAUUGAGCUGCUUCCCAGCCCAUUCAUUCAUUGUCAGCGUGGGAAUUUGGGGCUGCUUCUAUGAAUGAAUCUACUAUGAAUAUUAAAAAGAGACUGACCAAUGGCGUUAGUAUGUGUCCAACCCAAUUAGCAUAACUUUGGGCCAAUAGCAUUGGUCCUUUUUUCAAGUCCUAAUUAGCAUAAGUUUGGACCAAUAGCAUUGGACCAAGCGCUAUAUAAACCCCUUGCAGGUUGUUCAGACGUAGAGAAGCAGCGGAGGCCAUCGAGGUUGGUGUCCUGGAUUUCGCCGGACUUUCGCCGGACUUUCGCCGGACUUUCGCCGGACUUUCGCCGGACUUUUUGCAGGACUUUUCGCUGGACUUUCGCCGGACCUUCGCCGGACCUUCGCCGGACUUUCGCCGGAGUUCCAUGGAAGUUUCACCCUGGUUUGGUUCCCAGAGGUGAUUCUUCGACUUCCAAGAGACUGCUGAAAGAAAGAAGACAUGGUUGAGGAUCUGCUGGGGUCUGCUGCAGCGCUGGAUGGAAUGGCCCGCCAUAAGGAGGUAGGUAGGACUCCUCUCUGCUGCGGAGGCCUCCCCACCCCGCACGCAGACCCCCUACCUGCCAGCUAGAGCCAUGGAGUCUCAUCUUCAAACUCUGGUUUCGAGGUAUUGUUAUUCGUUAGGUAAUUAGCGUCUAAAUAUUGAAAUUUGUUAAUUUUAAUUUCUACUAGUGAAAAUUAUGAGACUCAUAAAUAAUAGAAAAAUAUUUCCCACAGUUCUGGAGGUCAUAAGCGGGAAAAGUCUGUCCCAAUAGUUAUGUCAUCAUUUCACAGAAUAAUGGUGGAGACUAACUUACUCUUAAAAGCCUUUUUUCUUUCCAUUCAUUUGAAGUUGAUUUCAGUGCUAUCAAAAUGUUUAAGGGAACCUAGGAAAUGUUUCAUUUUGUUAAUUUUCAUUUAUUGGUUGUUUUUAUUAUAGAAUCCAUUUUUAAAAAAUUAUUUAAGUUGUUAAUGGUCCAUUUAUUUUAUUUUAUUUUUUAAUUCAGUACUGAGAAUUAAACCCAGUGCCUCACACAUGCCUAGGCAAGUGCCCUACCACUGAGCCACAAUCCUGGCCCAUAAAAUUCAAUAUUAUAUAAUCAAUAUUUGUAUAAGUAAGAUACCUUAUAUAUUUAGAAUUAUAUUCUUAGGAUGUACAUGGUGGUGGGAUUCACAGUGUUGUUUCCACGUAUACACAUGGGAAAGCUGCAUUAGAGUCUUUCCACUGUCUUUCCUUUGCUUAUGCCCCUCCUUUCCCUCCAUUCCCCAUUGUCUAAUCUACUGCACUUCUGUUCCCAUCACCCCUCCUAUUGUGGGUUAGCUCCCACAUAUCAGAGAAAACAUUUGUCCUUUGUUUUUUGAAGACUGGUUUAGCUUCAGUUACCAUGAGUGUCUCCAGGUGGCAGAUAUUGUAGUCAUAUUUUUUUCUGCAAAUUGGUAUGUUUUCUUUAAUCUUCUUUUUAAAAAAAAUGUUCUAAUUCUACAGGACAAUAGGAUGCACUUUGACAUAGCGUACAUAAAUGUAGUAUGAUUUCUCAUGCUUCUGGUUGUACAGGAUGUAGCAUCACACUAGUCACGUAUUUGCAUAUGUACUUUGGAAUAAAUGUCUGAUUCAUUCUACUAUCCACUCUACCCAGUGUACCCCUUUCCCUCUCUUCACUUCUCUGUGCAGUCUAAAACAACUCUAUUCUUCCCUACCCCCCCCCCCCUUACUGUGAUUAUCAUAAGCAUAUCAGGGAAAAUUUUCUGGGAUUGGCUUAUCACUUAGCAUGAUAAGCUCCAUCCAUUUACCAGCAAAUGUCAUAAUUUAAUUCUUCUUUAAGGCUGAGUUUAUUCCAUCCUAUAUAUGUGUGUAAAAUUGUUUAUGUGUGUGUAUGUGUGUUUGCAUUGUGUGUGUGUGUGUGUGUGUGUGUGUAUAUAUAUAUAUGUAUAUAUUACAUAUAAUAUAUAUAUAUUAUAUAUAUUAUAUAUAUGUAUAUAUACACACACACACACACAUACACACAUAUGUAUAUCUAUACUCAUACACACCACAUUUUCUUUAUUCAUUUAUCUGUUGAAAGACACCUAGGUUAGUUCCAUAGUUUAUCUAUUAUGAAUUGAGCUGCUGUAAACAUAAUGUGACUGUGUCAUUGUAAUAUGUUGGUUUUAAGUCGUUUGGUUAUAAAAUGAGGAAAGGGAGAGCUGUGUCAGAUGUUGGUUCCAGUCCACGUUUUCUGAGGAAUUUCCAUACUGCUUUCCAUAAUGGUUGCCUCAAUUUGCAGUCACACAAGCAAUGUGUGCGUGCACCCUUUUCCCCACAUCCUCCCUAACAUUUAUUGUUACUUGAUGAUUGUAUUCUUGAUAACCAUGUUUGUCGACUGGGGUGGGAUAAAAUCUUGGAGAAGUUUUGAUUUGCUUUCUACUAAUAGCUAAAUAUUGAACAUUUUUCAUGUAUUUGUUGCUUCUUCUGUGAAGUGUCUGUUAGUUCCUUAGCCCAUUUAUUGAUUUGGUUAUUUGUUUUUUUUGGUGUCAUGUUUUUUGAGAUCUGCAUAUAUCCUGGAGAAUAAUGCUCUGAGGUGCAUGUGGUGAAGAUUUUCUCCUAUUCUGUAGGCUCUCUUUUCACAUUAUUGAUUGUUUCCUUUGCUGAGAAGAAGCUUUUUAAUUUGAAUCUAUCCUGUUUAUUGAUUCUUGAAAUUCUUGGAAUGUAGGAGUCACCUUAAGGAAGUCAGAUCUUAGGAUGACAUAGUGAAGAUUUAGGCCUACUUUUUCUUCUAUUUGGCUCAGGAUCUCUGUUCUAGUGCCUAAGUUUUGAUCUAUAUUCAAUUGAGUUUUGUGCAGAGUGAGAGAGAGGGCUUUACUUUUUAUUUUAUGUGGCUUUCCAAUUUUUCCUGCACCAUUUACCAUUUGUUGAACAGGCUUUUUUUUUUUUUUUUCUUAAAUGUAUGUUUUUGGCGCCUUGGUCUAGUUUGAGAUAACUGUGUUUUUGUGAGUUUUCUCUGUCUUCUAUUCUGUACCAUUCAUUGGUCUCUGUGUUAUUUUGAUGACAAUACAAUGCUGUUUUUGUUACGAUGUCUCUGUAGUACAGUUUAAGCUAUAGUAUUAUGAUAUGUCUUCUCUCUUCUUGCUUAGUAUUGCUUUGGCUAUUCUGCAUCUCUUAUUUUUCCACAUGAAGUUCAUGGUUGCUUUUUCUAGUUCUGUGAAGAAUUGUUUUAGGGAUUUUGGAAUUGAAUUAAAAUUUAUGAUCAAGCACAAAUUAGUUAAAACUAUGAAAAAGAAUCCCAGCUCACCAUAGACCUGACAGUUGUCUGGUCACUGGUGUCGGUUGAUCCAGCCACUGUCUCCUGCACACUUGAUGGUUGCUAAGCUGAGGUUACUUGUUGCAUUUUGGUGUUAAGGGUGUCUUAGAGUUGAGUCUACUCUGCAUGUUGGUACUGAGGUCGUGGUUCAGCCAAGCUUUGCCAAUGCACAGCCUGGGAUACUUUUCUGGGUUUUUUAAACUUUUAAUUGUGUCUGAAAAUUUCUUUGGGUCCUUUAAUCACUUUGCUUGAUCAACGUUUGUGUGCUAGGCACUAUACUAGGUGUGGAGUACAGAGUGAAUAGGCCAAGUCCUUGCUUCCAUGGAACUUAAUGAAGUUAGUAGGAUAAUCAUAGCAUCUACCUCAAGGUUAUGAGUUAUGUAGGCAUUCUGAGGUCUUAAAUAAUUUUCCAUCCAAGUUCUACCUUUCCUCAAUUUUUAAUCAGAACUUGACUUUUGACAAAAAGUUAAAAAUCUCUCUUAAGAUUCAUAAGAUACAUAAUUUAUAUCUUUUAGGCUUCAAAUCUAAUAUCAUUCAUUUUCCAAAAGAGCAAUAUUGGGUCAAAAUUGUAUUUAACCUUAAAGUAGACUUGCAACAUGGUAUAUAAAAACCUAGAAAUAAAAAAUGAUAUUGAAUAAAAUUUUAAAAUGUAAGUGGUCAGC